rnacentral:lncRNA from 1 species
GGGGCCCAGCAGUACCUGGUGCACAUUCAAAAGUACUUUCAACAGGAGCAAAGCCGAGCCUCCCGUGGUGUGCUGGGCUCUGUGCCACCCGGAGGGUGGAAGUGAGGAACGCUGAGUGGGACCACGCUCUUCAGUACCCCACCCGCACUUCCCAUGAAGGAGACAGGAAUGUUGUCCCCAGUGCUGGUCGGUCAGGCAUUCAGUCGACAAACACCCACCCAGCAGAUGGCCUUGGGCUCAGCAGAUGCACAGAACCGGUAAGCACAGCCGAGGAGAACAGCGAGAACGGAGCUGGCCCAAGGGAGAGCCUACCUGGAAAGAGGGUCUCAUGGCUGCUGCUGCGCCCUGAGGGCGGGACCCACUCUGGGGAUACUGACCCUUGAAGCCCGAUGCCCGGCUAUGGCCAUGACCAUGACCGACCCCAACCCAAGGCAGCUGCUUGCCAAGAUGGCAAGCCAUUAUCAGGACACAAGAAGGAGAUUGGAAGGGACGUGUGUUUGUGCUGGGGGCUAGCUGGCUCCCCUUCAUCCCUUCUUCUCCCAGCUAGAAACUCAGAGAAGGAACCACCCAGUGAGAAAUGGAAGCAGGGUUGAAGACCAGGCAUCAUUUCCGCCAUCUCCAUCAUCAUCACUGCUAUGAUCCCCAUCACCGUCAUCGUCACCACCAUCACCCCCUUGAACCCGGCUCCAAGAACUUCCUGCCCCCCCCACCUCUGUAUGUCACUCCUCAGGAAAGGCAGUCCAUUUUGUUUAAACAUGUCCUUGGAGCAGGCCACUGUCCCCAACAUUUCUCACGCCAGUAGACCGGCAUUUUGCCCUGGUUCUAGAAAAGACCACAUCACGGUAUGACUUUGGGUAGGAGAAGAAUGGGAUUGUAUGUCCUUCUUCCCACAAAGCCCAAAGGGUAAUUGGCUUCUACCACCAAGAGGCCCCAGAUAGUCCCAGGCAGUGGUGCUACUGGCUGCCACUCAAGGGUGGGGAGGGGGGGGUCCUGGGUCCAGGCAGGGAUGGGUGAGAAUGAGUGGCACUUGUCUCCAGCCCUGUCCACAGGACUCUGGCCCUAGCCCUGGGCAGGGAGGGGUUCCCACAGAGGAAAGGACGGGCGCUGUGACCUCACCCCUCCCUUGACUUUGUACAAGUCUCCACUGUGGAGACUGGGUUUGGAUUCAUCACUAAAUGGGGC